ACGAACGCUGGCGGCGUGCCUAAUACCUGCAAGUUGAGCGCUGAAGGUUGGUACUUGUACCAACUGGAUGAGCAGCGAACGGGUGAGUAACGCGUGGGGAAUCUGCCUUUGAGCGGGGGACAACAUUUGGAAACGAAUGCUAAUACCGCAUAAAAACUUUAAACACAAGUUUUAAGCUUGAAAGAUGCAAUUGCAUCACUCAAAGAUGAUCCCGCGUUGUAUUAGCUAGUUGGUGAGGUAAAGGCUCACCAAGGCGAUGAUACAUAGCCGACCUGAGAGGGUGAUCGGCCACAUUGGGACUGAGACACGGCCCAAACUCCUACGGGAGGCAGCAGUAGGGAAUCUUCGGCAAUGGACGAAAGUCUGACCGAGCAACGCCGCGUGAGUGAAGAAGGUUUUCGGAUCGUAAAACUCUGUUGGUAGAGAAGAACGUUGGUGAGAGUGGAAAGCUCAUCAAGUGACGGUAACUACCCAGAGAGGGACGGCUAACUACGUG
rnacentral:rRNA from 1 species